rnacentral:rRNA from 1 species
UACAGAGGUCGCAAGCGUUGCUCGGAAUUACUGGGCGUAAAGCGUGCGCAGGCGGUGGCUCAAGCCAGGCGUGAAAUCCCCGGGCUUAACCUGGGAAUGGCGUUUGGGACUGGGUCGCUAGAGUGUGGCAGAGGGAGGUGGAAUUCCGCGUGUAGCAGUGAAAUGCGUAGAGAUGUGGAGGAACACCGAUGGCGAAGGCAGCCUCCUGGGCCAGCACUGACGCUCAUGCACGAAAGCGUGGGGAGCAAACAGG